rnacentral:tRNA from 1 species
CGGAGUGUAGCUCAGCCUGGUAGAGCGCUGUCUUCGGGAGGCAGAAGCCGGAGGUUCGAAUCCUCUCACUCCGA